ensembl:lncRNA
CAGUCUCUAUCAGCAUCAACGUCAUCACAGGUCAGUCCCCUGUCCCCCUACACCAGUCUCUAUCAGCAUCAACGUCAUCACAGGUCAGUCCCCUGUCCCCCUACACCAGUCUCUAUCAGCAUCAACGUCAUCACAGGUCAGUCCCCUGUCCCCCUACACCAGUCUCUAUCAGCAUCAACGUCAUCACAGGUCAGUCCCCUGUCCUCCUACACCUGUCUCUAUCAGCAUCAACGUCAUCACAGGUCAGUCCCCUAUCCCCCUACACCAGUCUCUAUCCUGACAUCAACGUCAUCACAGGUCAGUCCCCAAUCCCCCUACACCAGUCUCUAUCCUGACAUUAACGUCAUCACAGGUCAGUCCCCUAUCCCCCUACACCAGUCUCUAUCAGAGGGACAGUGCUGCUGUCAGCCUGAAUGAAGAGGUUUAUCCUGACAUCAACGUCAUCACAGGUCAGUCCCCUGUCCCCCUAAACCAGUCUCUAUCAGAGGGACAGUGCUGCUGUCAGCCUGAAUGAAGAGGUUUAUCCUGACAUCAACGUCAUCACAGGUCAGUCCCCUGUCCCCCUAAACCAGUCUCUAUCAGAGGGACAGUGCUGCUGUCAGCCUGAAUGAAGAGGUUU